AAAAAGAACCAGAAAAGGUGAAAAAAACAGCUGCUGCUCCUUUACCACCUGCUAAGGUGCCAAAAAAAGGUACUUGGCUCGGUUCUUUGUGUUGCCUGUGUCUGUUCCAAUGUCUUCAGUAGCAGCAUUUUUGUCUUCAGGUCGACGGUAUCUUGCUGCCUGUGCUCGGUUGUGUUGUUUGUUUUCUUUUUUGUCUUCUUUGUUUUGUGUCUGCUUGCUAGUUAUUAUUCUUUUAAAGACUUCUUGAUAAAAUUUUGAAGCCACUAUGACUUCAUGCUUACAUUAACUAAUGUCUAUGUUAACUGAUUAAAGAUGAGUCCAAGCCUGAGGUACCAGCACCGCCCAAAAAAGUGGCACCUGCAGCUAAGCCUGAGCUGAAAGUGGAACCUGAACCAAUACCUAAACCUACACCACCUCCUAAAUGGGAACCUGAAGCUAAACCUGCAUCUAAGGCUGAACCAGAGCCUGGAGCUCAGCCCGUGCUAACCCCACCCUUUAAAGUCCCAAAAGAUGCUUUAAAACCAGAGCCAGAAGGGAUCAAGUCUGAACCAACAGGAAUUGAACCAGAACCAAAAAAAACAAAACUAGAUGUCCAUAAAACUGUAAUAAAGGCAGAAUCUGUCAUAACUGAGCGAGAAGAGGCCCAUCAAACAGAACCUGCAAACAUUCCCAAGUCUGACAUGCCAUCAAAAAGAGCAGAAGCUGAAAUAAAAGUGUCAAAAGCAGAACGUCCAAAGACUGAGCCAGAACUGACAAUUACAGCAAAGGAAACUCCAAAUAAAGUGCCAGCGAUGCCACCUAAGGAGGAGGUGGCGGCACCACCAUCAACACCACUCACAGCCCCUCAAACAGUAGAGAAAGAUGAAGCAGCUGCACAGAAGAAGCCUGUGGCCGUGAAAGUUCCUAUUAAGGACAAAACACCUUGGUCUCCAAAAGCAUCCAAGACACCAGAACCUACUGUGAUUUUUCCAAGAGAAGACCCAACAAAAAAAGAUAAAGGUACUAGUGCUUUACAUGGAACUCAUUCCACUGAUGUUUAUAGCUUGUUAAUUUGUUUAAUUUAAGUCAGUUUAAGUUUUAACCAAGUGGGCCUCUUGCAGCCUUAUUUGUGCGCUAGCACA
rnacentral:lncRNA from 1 species